AGUGAACGCUGGCGGUAGGCCUAACACAUGCAAGUCGAACGGCAGCACAGUAAGAGCUUGCUCUUACGGGUGGCGAGUGGCGGACGGGUGCGGAAUACAUCGGAAUCUACUUUUUCGUGGGGGAUAACGUAGGGAAACUUACGCUAAUACCUCAUACGACCUACGGGUGAAAGCAGGGGAUCUUCGGACUUUGCGCGAUUGAAUGAGCCGAUGUCGGAUUAGCUAGUUGGCGGGGUAAAGGCCCACCAAGGCGACGAUCCGUAGCUGGUCUGAGAGGAUGAUCAGCCACACUGGAACUGAGACACGGUCCAGACUCCUACGGGAGGCAGCAGUGGGGAAUAUUGGACAAUGGGCGCAAGCCUGAUCCAGCCAUACCGCGUGGGUGAAGAAGGCCUUCGGGUUGUAAAGCCCUUUUGUUGGGAAAGAAAAGCAGCAGGUUAAUACCCCGCUGUUCUGACGGUACCCAAAGAAUAAGCACCGGCUAACUUCGUG
rnacentral:rRNA from 1 species